rnacentral:rRNA from 1 species
UACAGAGGUCUCAAGCGUUGUUCGGAUUCAUUGGGCGUAAAGGGCGCGUAGGCGGCGCCACAAGUCACCUGUGAAAACUCUGGGCUUAACUCAGAGCCUGCAGGCGAAACUGUGGUGCUGGAGUAUGGGAGAGGUGCGUGGAAUUCCCGGUGUAGCGGUGAAAUGCGUAGAUAUCGGGAGGAAGGCCAGAGGCGAAAGCGACGACCUGGGGAGGAACUGACACUGAACUACGAAAGCGUGGGGAGCAAACAGG